rnacentral:rRNA from 1 species
AUAUCAAUAAGCGGAGGAAAAGAAACCAACAGGGAUUGCCUUAGUAGCGGCGAGUGAAGCGGCAAAAGCUCAAAUUUGAAAUCUGGCUCUUUCAGAGUCCGAGUUGUAAUUUGAAGAAGGUAUCUUUGGGUCUGGCUCUUGUCUAUGUUUCUUGGAACAGAACGUCACAGAGGGUGAGAAUCCCGUGCGAUGAGAUGAUCCAGGCCUAUGUAAAGUUCCUUCGAAGAGUCGAGUUGUUUGGGAAUGCAGCUCUAAGUGGGUGGUAAAUUCCAUCUAAAGCUAAAUAUUGGCGAGAGACCGAUAGCGAACAAGUACAGUGAUGGAAAGAUGAAAAGAACUUUGAAAAGAGAGUGAAAAAGUACGUGAAAUUGUUGAAAGGGAAGGGCUUGAGAUCAGACUUGGUAUUUUGUAUGUUACUUCUUCGGGGGUGGCCUCUACAGUUUAUCGGGCCAGCAUCAGUUUGGGCGGUAGGAGAAUUGCGUUGGAAUGUGGCACGGCUUCGGUUGUGUGUUAUAGCCUUCGUCGAUACUGCCAGCCUAGACUGAGGACUGCGGUUUAUACCUAGGAUGUUGGCAUAAUGAUCUUAAGUCGCCCGUCUUGAAA